rnacentral:tRNA from 2 species
GGCAGCGUAGCUCAGCUGGCUAGAGCGCACGACUCAUAAUCGUGAGGUCGGGAGUUCGAGUCUCCCCGCUGCUA